AGAGUUUGAUCCUGGCUCAGGAUGAACGCUGGCGGCGUGCCUAAUACAUGCAAGUCGAGCGAACUGAUUAGAAGCUUGCUUCUAUGACGUUAGCGGCGGACGGGUGAGUAACACGUGGGUAACCUGCCUGUAAGACUGGGAUAACUUCGGGAAACCGAAGCUAAUACCGGAUAGGAUCUUCUCCUUCAUGGGAGAUGAUUGAAAGAUGGUUUCGGCUAUCACUUACAGAUGGGCCCGCGGUGCAUUAGCUAGUUGGUGAGGUAACGGCUCACCAAGGCAACGAUGCAUAGCCGACCUGAGAGGGUGAUCGGCCACACUGGGACUGAGACACGGCCCAGACUCCUACGGGAGGCAGCAGUAGGGAAUCUUCCGCAAUGGACGAAAGUCUGACGGAGCAACGCCGCGUGAGUGAUGAAGGCUUUCGGGUCGUAAAACUCUGUUGUUAGGGAAGAACAAGUACAAGAGUAACUGCUUGUACCUUGACGGUACCUAACCAGAAAGCCACGGCUAACUACGUGCCAGCAGCCGCGGUAAUACGUAGGUGGCAAGCGUUAUCCGGAAUUAUUGGGCGUAAAGCGCGCGCAGGCGGUUUCUUAAGUCUGAUGUGAAAGCCCACGGCUCAACCGUGGAGGGUCAUU
rnacentral:rRNA from 1 species